AGAGUUUGAUCCUGGCUCAGAAUCAACGCUGGCGGCGCGCUUAACACAUGCAAGUCGAACGAGAAAGUGGAGCGAUCCAUGAGUACAGUGGCGUACGGGUGAGUAACACGUGGGUAAUCUACCUCCUAGUGUGGAAUAACCCUGGGAAACCGGGGCUAAUACCGCAUAAGCUCGAGAGAGGAAAGCAGCAAUGCGCUGGGAGAGGAGCCCGCGGCCGAUUAGCUAGUUGGCAGGGUAAAAGCCUACCAAGGCAUAGAUCGGUAGCCGGCCUGAGAGGGCACACGGCCACACUGGCACUGAAACACGGGCCAGACUCCUACGGGAGGCAGCAGUGGGGAAUCUUGCACAAUGGGGGCAACCCUGAUGCAGCGACGCCGCGUGAGCGAUGAAGCCCUUCGGGGUGUAAAGCUCUUUCGGCAGGGAAGAUUAUGACGGUACCUGCAGAAGCAGCUGCGGCUAACUACGUGCCAGCAGCCGCGGUAAUACGUAGGCAGCGAGCGUUGUUCGGAGUUACUGGGCGUAAAGGGUGUGUAGGCGGUUGUCUAAGUUUGGUGUGAAAUCUCCCGGCUCAACUGGGAGGGUGCGCCGAAUACUGAAUGACUAGAGUGCGGGAGAGGAAAGUGGAAUUCCUGGUGUAGCGGUGAAAUGCGUAGAUAUCAGGAGGAACACCGGUGGUGUAGACGGCUUUCUGGACCGUAACUGACGCUGAAACACGAAAGCGUGGGUAGCAAACAGGAUUAGAUACCCUCGUAGUCC
rnacentral:rRNA from 1 species